CCUUGGUCUCGUGCCUGCACGCGCCGCGAGAAGAGUACAGCAAAACCACAUUCCGCCAUUAAAAACUGCACGAGCUCGCGCUGCGUUGCUCUCGGUCGCGGAAUAAAUUAGGAACGCUCGUGAUUGGAAUGCAUAUUAAUACUACCACUAGUCUACUGGUACCACGCAUAGAUUUUUAAUCAUCUAAGCAUGAACACGCACUGUAUUACCAGACAUUGUUGUUAGCAUGUAAUCUUGGUUUCUUGAGCUUGUUUAUAUACACUCGUGAUUUGACGGACCAAUUCCUCAAAUUUGGGGCGCUUCUUGAACGGAUCGAGCGGGCAAUUAUUGAGGCCACAAACAUUCCCAUCAAACAAAGCUAGUGGCACUAGUACUACUAGUAGUGGUACUACAAACCGGGGAAUGAAAUCAACAUAGAGCGCGGUGAAUAAAAUAGGAACAGUGAGGAGGNN
rnacentral:lncRNA from 1 species